CCUACGGGAGGCCGCAGUCGAGAAUCUUCCGCAAUGGACGAAAGUCUGACGGAGCGAUACAGCGUGAUGGAUGAAGUGCUUCGGUACGUAAACAUCUUUUAUGUGGGACGAAAUUAUUGACGGUACCACAUGAAUAAGGGGCUCCUAACUCUGUGCCAGCAGGAGCGGUAAUACAGAGGCCCCGAAGCGUUAUCCGGAAUUACUGGGCGUAAAGGAUGUCAAGGCGGUCAUGUUAGUCGUGUGUAAAAUCCGGGGGGUCUCAACCUCCGGCCCGCACACGAAACGGCAUGACUAGAGGUUGGAAGAGGUGCGUGGAACUCACGGUGUAGGGGUGAAAUCCGUUGAUAUCGUGGGGUAACACCAAAGGCGAAGGCAGCGCACUGGUCCAAAUCUGACGCUCACACAUGAAAGCCAGGGUAGCGAAUGGGAUUAGAUACCCCGAGUAGUCCUGGCCCUAAACGUUGCUCGCUCGUUACUACGGAGAAUCGACCCUCUGUGGGACUAAGCUAACGCGGUAAGCGAGCCGCCUGGGUAGUACGAUCGCAAGNUUAAAACUCAAAUGAAUUGACGGCUGAGAGNGCGACGCGACGACGAGGAGAG
rnacentral:rRNA from 1 species